rnacentral:rRNA from 1 species
CUCGGUGAUUUGUGCGCAAGUGUCCUACCUGAUCCCAUCCCGAACUCAGUCGUAAAAGCUUGCAGCGGGGACGAUAAUAUAUCCGCAAGGGUAUGUGAAAAUACCUCAUUGCCGGGA